CAGUAGCCGCGGUAAUACGUAGGUGGCAAGCGUUGUCCGGAAUUAUUGGGCGUAAAGGGCUCGCAGGCGGUUUCUUAGGUCUGAUGUGAAAGCCCCCGGCUCAACCGGGGAGGGUCAUUGGAAACUGGGAAACCUGAGUGCAGAAGAGGAGAGUGGAAUUCCACGUGUAGCGGUGAAAUGCGUAGAGAUGUGGAGGAACACCAGUGGCGAAGGCGACUCUCCGGUCCGUAACUGACGCUGAGGAGCGAAAGCGUGGGGAGCGAACAGGAUUAGAUACCCCAGUAGUCCCUGUCUCUUAUAC
rnacentral:rRNA from 1 species